UGUGUUGGAAAUAGCAAUUGGCCUCUCCAUCAUUAUUGCAACUGCAAUCCUGCUUUCUGUCUGCAAUUGGUGCUUUCGAAAACAGAUAGGUGACUAUGUUGAUGUCCUGUGGCCGAUACCUGAGCCCAAAGAUGACACCCAAAACAGGAUUGAUAAUGACCCCCAGGGCAUUAUAUAUGCAGACAUACAGUGGAUGGGUUCCUCGAACAACAAACCUUUUUUAAAAGACGUCCCAUUCAAUCACCAGGAAAAUAAUCGAGAAGAGAACGUUCUUUACUGUAACGUUUCACUGUCAUAAAUCUUUUAAAUAUAUUUUUUAAAUAAUAAUAGUUGAAAAUAAAUGUAUUAUGUACAAGGACCUUCUCAUAUAUGACACGUUAUCAGUUUUUCCCGCAAGAUCCAUAACAAUGUAACCAAUGUAAUUUUCAACCAAAUGCACACUAUUGUGUAUUAUAGUUACUGAUGAGCGCUUAGCUCUGAGCCAAUGCUCCCAAACAUGAGUUAUUGUUUCAACAUCACAGAGCACUAAAACCA